GUCCGACACGAAGACGAGGGCAAGACUAAUCCAAAAGAGUUAGUGCGGUCGAAAAAUGGCGUUGUUGAAAAUCUUCUUCCAUCACCAAGUACUCUGUUUCAAAAUACCUUUUUUGAUACAGUUUGGACAAAUACUUGGUCACUUUCCUGUGUAUUUUCGUUAUGUAAUGUGUGCACAUUUCAAGGCGCGCCUUGUAUUAAGUCGUCGGCUGAGGAUCUUGUUUGGAUGCCACUGGUCAUCAAGCGACAUCAAUUGCAAAAUGCAAACGCAUUCGGAUCGUUCAAUUUUAUGAGUGACAUACAACAACUAUUUGUAUUGUUCUCUCGAAGAGUGGUCUACCUGUAACGUUUGACCGGGAUUUUCCGGCCCCAGGGACGAGGCGGUGCCUCAGCCAGAAGUCCAUUGACUUGCGGCGGGACCGGAAGAUCCCGGCGAGUGCCGAAAAUCUCACCCAUAAGCACACGUCUGACCCCCUGUGUAGUACGUCUGUUGAAAGUUCGUUUUCCAACUUUUGAAGGCUCAAUUGAAACAGAUUCCAUUCAUUUUUGCCUCAGGAGGCGCUCGCAGCAUCGAAACUUUGCCUUGGGUUGAGUUUGGUAAUAUUAUGAGGUGGUUUGGGACGACCUGACCUGUGAAAACUGAACAUCAGUUGUCGAAUUUUCAAACACGUCACAGAGCUUUUCGAUCGUGUAAUUGUAUUAAACAUGAUCACCUCUAUAAAUUGAAGAAUCUCGAUCAAAAAUCAUUCAGGAUAAGGAAAGCAAUUGGGCUCAUCUAAGUGCAUGUAUUCAAAAAAAA